rnacentral:rRNA from 1 species
CACAAGCGGUGGAUUAUGUUGUUUAAUUCGACGCAACGCGAAGAACCUUACCAGGCCUUGACAUACUCGGCAAAGCUCUAGAGAUAGAGUGGAGGGUUAUCCGGGAUACAGGUGGUGCAUGGUUGUCGUCAGCUCGUGUCGUGAGAUGUUGGGUUAAGUCCCGCAACGAGCGCAACCCUUGUCUUUAGUUACCAUCAUUCAGUUGGGGACUCUAGAGAGACUGCCGGUGAUAAACCGGAGGAAGUGGGGAUGACGUCAAAUCAUCAUGCCCCUUAUGGCCUGGGCUACAAACGUAAUACAAUGGCGUAUACAAAGGGAUGCGAAAGGGCGACCUGGAGCAAAACUCACAAAGUACGUCUCAGUUCAGAUUGGAGUCUGCAACUCGACUCCAUGAAGGCGGAAUCGCUAGUAAUCGCGGAUCAGCAUGCCGCGGUGAAUACGUUCUCGGGGUUU